rnacentral:rRNA from 1 species
GACGAACGCUGGCGGCGCGCUUAAUACAUGCAAGUCGAACGAGAAGCCAGAGCUUGCUCUGGUGGAAAGUGGCGAACGGGUGAGUAACACGUGAGAAACCUGCCCCAAAGAUUGGGAUAAGCCUUGGAAACGAGGUCUAAUACCAAAUACCUUCCUUUUAACACAUGUUAAAAAGAAGAAAUGCUCCGGCGCUUUGGGAUGGUCUCGCGAUCUAUCAGCUUGUUGGUGAGGUAACGGCUCACCAAGGCAUCGACGGAUAGCUGGUCUGAGAGGAUGUCCAGCCACAUUGGAGCUGAGACACGGUCCAAACUCCUACGGGAGGCAGCAGUAGGGAAUCUUGCACAAUGAGGGAAACCUUGAUGCAGCGACGCCGCGUGCGGGACGAAGGCCCUAGGGUUGUAAACCGCUUUCAGUAGGGACGAAAGUGACGGUACCUACAGAAGAAGCCCCGGCCAACUAUGUGCCAGCAGCCGCGGUAAU